UUUUAUAAUAAUUACUUUUUAAACAACAAAGUUGAAAUCAAAUAUUAAUGUUCUAUUUUUUUCAAAAAUGUAGAUAAUGAAUGUUAGAAUUUUACAGUGAAAUAUUCAAUACUUUGGACUACUUUAAUAUUCCAGCGUGAGCUUCCUGUACUAUGCAAACUAAUAAAGACUUUAAUGUUGACUAUUUAUUAACACUAGAGUUGAACAAGUAAUUUUUUUCUCUUAUUGAUAUUUUACUGGUACAAUUUAAAUAAAUGUAACAUACACUCUCUCUAGAUAUAAUAAGUUUCUGUUAUAGUUGUCUAUUAUAGAUGCAGUAAGUAAUAUCAAAACUUAAAUUGAUUUUUGCUUCAAGGUAUAUUUUCUUAUUAAGUGGUUAUAAUAAUAUCAUGUAUAUCCAACAUUCUAAUGACUAUAGCUGUAUUAGACAAUAUUAAAUCAAAAGUUUAUUAUAAUGUUUCAAGUCAAAGUAACCUACUACAAAUUCUAAAGUUGAGUGGAAAUGAAAUAUUUUCAUUAAAUCCACACAAAACAUUUUGUUUGUUCAAUACUAAGUUACUUAUGGGGAGAAAAAUUAUUCAUAUGAUAUUGAUUGGUUACAGUAUACAGUUGGUGUAAUUAGGAAUUAAUAUGAGCUUACAUUUUAUGUACUUAACUUGUUUUUAUAUAACUUAUUAUGAUUAAUUUUAGUUUUGACAAACUCAAUAAUUUAUAUUAGAUUUAAACAUAUAUUUUAAAAAUUAAUAUUUUUGUUAAAUAUACAUAAUAUAUUAUUUUAUAUAGGCAACGGCAGUUUUUGUCAAUUAUUGUUAAUGUUAUGCCUUAUGCAGUUAUGCUGUUCUGCACAAAUUGAUAUUAUUUCACGAUGGUAAACACAUCGCGUGCCUUAUUAUAAAGUUUGUUAAAAUAAAUUAUAGUACCGCUAAUAAUUGUGAAAUAAUAAUAAUAAAACGUAUUACUAAUCGAAA